UUCUAUGUGCUACAGCCUUAAUAUAUGUGUUGUUUAUUUGCUACUAUUUCAUUGCGCAUGCGUGCAAGACCCAUCUAGCAACACUAUCUCCGUUCAUUUGCGUGAUUUGCUGGUCAUGGACCAAUGGUCGAUCCGCUGCGCGUCAGUUCUUCUUGAAUUACUCAGUUAGGUGUGCUUGCCAGUAUGCCAGUUCGAUUCAGUUCCGUUAUUGUGUUCAAGUCUUGUGGAUAUUCGUUCGGCUAUUAGUUUUCUUCUUCUGCAAGUGUACACGAAAAGUGGGUCAGUGCUUUUUUGCGCUAAUCUAUGGAUUUAGAUAUGUCCGUGAAUACGAAUUAUAUCUCGUCAUAAUUUAAUAUGUUACGAAAAAUGGAAUUUAGCCGCGACUAUCUGUUGACGAUGCCACGUACUACUCGCGGGAGAGAAGAAUAAAGAACGCGCCAAUAUCUAACGAGGCACUAUGUGUGUAACUGUUGUCGAGAUCACUAUAAGGAAAUACGCAUAUGCGAAAA